rnacentral:rRNA from 1 species
GACGAACGCUGGCGGCGUGCUUAACACAUGCAAGUCGAACGGAAAGGCCCUGCUUUUGUGGGGUGCUCGAGUGGCGAACGGGUGAGUAACACGUGAGUAACCUGCCCUUGACUUUGGGAUAACUUCAGGAAACUGGGGCUAAUACCGGAUAGGAGCUCCUGCUGCAUGGUGGGGGUUGGAAAGUUUCGGCGGUUGGGGAUGGACUCGCGGCUUAUCAGCUUGUUGGUGGGGUAGUGGCUUACCAAGGCUUUGACGGGUAGCCGGCCUGAGAGGGUGACCGGCCACAUUGGGACGGAGAUACGGCCCAGACUCCUACGGGAGGCAGCAGUGGGGAAUAUGGCACAAUGGGCGGAAGCCUGAUGCAGCAACGCCGCGUGCGGGAGGACGGCCUUCGGGUUGUAAACCGCUUUCGCCUGUGACGAAGCGUGAGUGACGGUAAUGGGUAAAGAAGCACCGGCUAACUACGU